AGUGAACGCUGGCGGUAGGCCUAACACAUGCAAGUCGAACGGCAGCACAGUAAGAGCUUGCUCUUACGGGUGGCGAGUGGCGGACGGGUGAGGAAUACAUCGGAAUCUACUUUUUCGUGGGGGAUAACGUAGGGAAACUUACGCUAAUACCGCAUACGACCUACGGGUGAAAGCAGGGGAUCUUCGGACCUUGCGCGAUUGAAUGAGCCGAUGUCGGAUUAGCUAGUUGGCGGGGUAAAGGCCCACCAAGGCGACGAUCCGUAGCUGGUCUGAGAGGAUGAUCAGACACACUGGAACUGAGACACGGUCCAGACUCAUACGGGAGGCAGCAGUGGGGAAUAUUGGAAAAUGGGCGCAAGCCUGAUCCAGCCAUACCGCGUGGGUGAAGAAGGCCUUCGGGUUGUAAAGCCCUUUUGUUGGGAAAGAAAAGCAGCAGGUUAAUACCCCGCUGUUCUGACGGUACCCAAAGAAUAAGCACCGGCUAACUUCGUG
rnacentral:rRNA from 1 species